CCCUUAGAUGUCCGGGGCUGCACGCGCGCUACACUGAAGGAAUCAGCGUGCUAAAACCAUUGUCGAAAGGCAUUGGUAAACCCAUUAAAAUCCUACGUGAUUGGGAUCGGGAAUUGCAAUUAUUUCCCUUGAACGAGGAAUUCCCAGUAAGUGUGGGUCAUAAGCUCGCGUUGAUUACGUCCCUGCCCUUUGUACACACCGCCCGUCGCUGCCCGGGACUGAGCCGUUUCGAGAAAAGCGGGGACUGCUGCUGUCGGGGCUUUCGGGCCUUGGCUUCGGUGGAAACCGCUUUAAUCGCAGUGGCUUGAACCGGGCAAAANCCGUANCA
rnacentral:rRNA from 1 species